GUCUGUUCUUCGGUGCUUGCUCGGCCGUCAAUCUAAUCGCCACAACAACUGCCUGCAGGAAUCUAUCAUCGUGCUUGUCUGGAUUUCAACAACUGCAUUAAGGCUUCUAUUUUGUUGUUGACACCAGCAUUUGCAAGGCUUAUUUUGCGACUUAAUCUUCAGCCUCCUGAAUUUGUUACUGGUACUUAUUAUUUUGAGUUGGUCUUAUGAAGUAUUACAUUUACAUUUACUCUCUUUCGCCUAGUUACAAUCAGAUCUGUCUGUUCUUUUAGACUUUGAGUUAGCGCUCCCUAGUCAAAUCCUAUUCUGCUAUGGUUCCAGCUAGCCUCUUGCUUGUAGGGGAUAAGAAAAGGUAGAGUUACCCAAAAACCAUUCGCAAAGUAAUCGAUUUUUGUGCCUGGAAGUCUACGAUUACUCAUUGGCGCCAACUACAUGAGUCAUGAAUCAAUGAGUCAUGAAUCUGAGUUAAAGCUAUA